GUAUGAAUUUCUCACCAAUUUGCCAGAAAACAUCAGUGUUAGUUUCUUCAUAGCUUGAUGGUGACUUUGCAGUUGCACGGCAUUUCUGGGGCUACUGAUUUUCGCCUUCAUGAUGUUGUUCCUAUACAAGGACGUCAAUUUUGCCUUUGUUUUGACCUUUGAUGUCUUGCAGCUGAACCCGUCCUUCCUAUCCAAUUGGUCUCCCCGAAAAUAAGAAUUUACGUUAAUGCACCAAAUCUUUUUGCAAGAUCAUACUGUAAACAGCAUUCUGAAGCAGAAAUUGAUCAGAAUUAAAACUUCAUCUUAUCAAAAAUGAAUUUAACUUCUGUGCAAUGAACAACCACCAGUAAUUAGGCGAAAAUUGAAGACGGGCAAACCCAGAAACCCACUCAGGAA
rnacentral:misc_RNA from 1 species